rnacentral:rRNA from 1 species
UUGAACGCUGGCGGCAUGCCUUACACAUGCAAGUCGAACGGCAGCACGGGGGCAACCCUGGUGGCGAGUGGCGAACGGGUGAGUAAUACAUCGGAACGUGUCCUGUAGUGGGGGAUAGCCCGGCGAAAGCCGGAUUAAUACCGCAUACGAUCUACGGAAGAAAGCGGGGGAUCGCAAGACCUCGCGCUAUAGGGGCGGCCGAUGGCAGAUUAGCUAGUUGGUGGGGUAAAGGCCUACCGAGGCGACGAUCUGUAGCUG